ACUCAAAUGAAUUGACGGGGGCCCGCACAAGCAGCGGAGCGUGUGGUUUAAUUCGAGGCUACACGAAGAACCUUACCUGGGGUUGACAUGUAUCUAGUAGGGAAGCGAAAGCGGACCGACCCGUAAGGGAGGAUACACAGGUGCUGCAUGGCUGUCGUCAGCUCGUGCCGUGAGGUGUUAGGUUAAGUCCUGUAACGAGCGCAACCCUCGGGUCUAGUUACACGUAAUCUAGACCGACUGCCCGUGACAAGCGGGAGGAAGGUGGGGAUGACGUCAAGUCAGCAUGGCCUUUAUCUCCAGGGCUACACACACGCUACAAUGGCCGGUACAAUGGGUCGCCAAGCAGCAAUGCGGAGCCAAUCCAAGCAAAGCCGGUCGUAGUUCGGAUUGUGGGCUGCAACCCGCCCACAUGAAGUCGGAGUUGCUAGUAACCGCGCAUCAGCCAUGGCGCGGUGAAUACGUUCCCGGGCCUUGUACACACCGCCCGU
rnacentral:rRNA from 1 species